rnacentral:lncRNA from 1 species
UCGCGCUCGUCGAGCGGGUCGAAGUGAAGAGAGCUGUGAGGAACUCGCUACGAUCGACUCGAAAUGGUACGUCGGCCGGCGGAAAAUCCGGGCUCUAUAUAUAUAUAUAUUAUACAUAUUCUAAAUGUUUUAUUAUUUUGUAGCUACAAAAUUGGAUUUAAUGAACGGUAAUGAUCGUAAGCGUUUAUUACUAUUAGCGCUCUAUUGUAAAAAACCAAUAUUUGAUCAGCGUAGAAAACUAUUAUUAUUGACGGCGGCACAGACUGUUCUAUUUCAAAAUGAAAAUAAAUCUCAACAACGACGACGACACUGGUUGGUUCGUCCGAUUAAUCAACAGCGAAUUGAACAAGGAGAUGGUAAUCACUUGAUUGAAGAAAUGAGAUUGCAAGAUACAGAAGUACAUUUUCAAUACACUCGUAUGACUAUUGAUGUCUUUGAUGAACUUCUUGCAAAAGUUGGACCAAGAAUAGAAAAAUUACCAACACAUUAUAGAGAACCUAUUUCCUCUCGUGAUAGAUUGUACAUAACAUUAAGAUACUUAGCAGUCGGAGAUAAUAUGUCUUCAAUAGCAUUUGCAUUUCGGGUAGGACGUAGUACAGUCUCCUGCAUAGUAAAAGAAACGUGUGAAGCACUAUGGAAUAUUCUACAGAAUGAGCUAUUUUAACCAUCAGAAGAUGGAUGGAAAGCAGUUGCAGAAGAAUUUGAAAGACUUGGAACUUUCCUCAUUGUAUUGGUGCUCUGGAUGGAAAGCACAUUACCCUACAAGCACCACCAAAUUCUGGCUCUGCAUUUUAUGAUUACAAUGGACAUCACAGCAUUCAUUUAAUGGCAAUUGCAUCAGCAACAUAUAGGUUUUUGCUCGUCGAUAUAGGGGCGGAAGGUCGUCAUAGCGAUGGUGGAGUUUUUACGAAUUUGUUAAUGGGUCGCCGAUUUCGCAAUAAUGAAAUGAAUAUUCCUCCGCCAUCGCCAAUUAUCACUGAUGGAGAGCCAAUGCCUUAUAUUUUAGUAGCAGACGAGGCUUUUCAAUUGAAUAAUUUUACCCUUAGACCCUAUCCUGGAAAAACCCUUACAAAUGAACAGAGGAUUUUUAAUUAUCGGUUGAGUCGAGCAUGAAGAGUCAUCGAAAAUACUUUCGGUAUCAUGGUGGUCCGGUGGCGCAUUUUCACGAAACCUAUCAACACUUUGUUAAUAACAGCAGACAAAAUUGUGCAGGCUUGCGUCGUGCUUCACAAUUUCUUAAUGGAUAAACCGAAGUACUGCGAAGAAGGAUUUGCUGACGAGAUGUAUCAAAAUCGAAUUAAUCCAGAAUCAUGGCGGAAAGAAUUACAGAACCAUUCUGCAUUGAAGUCUCAUGGAUCUGCAGGCAGUAAUAUACACUCGCGCAUCGCAGCUUUAGGAAGAGAAAAUUAUAAAAAUUACUUUUUAAAUGAAGGAGCUGUCUCAUGGCAAUAGACUUCAUGUGAUGGAUGGUGAAUCAAAUACUUCUUAUAUAUAUAAGAAUAAAAAUUAUAAAAAUUUUUGUAAUCCUUACGACCACUCAAUGUAGAUUGAAUAAAUUGAAUUGUAAAUUA